rnacentral:rRNA from 1 species
GCCUACGGGAGGCAGCAGUCGAGAAUCAUCCACAAUGGGGGAAACCCUGAUGGUGCGACGCCGCGUGGGGGAAUGAAGGUCUUCGGAUUGUAAACCCCUGUCAUGUGGGAGCAAAUUAAAAAGAUAGUACCACAAGAGGAAGAGACGGCUAACUCUGUGCCAGCAGCCGCGGUAAUACAGAGGUCUCAAGCGUUGUUCGGAAUCACUGGGCGUAAAGCGUGCGUAGGCUGUUUCGUAAGUCGUGUGUGAAAGGCGCGGGCUCAACCCGCGGACGGCACAUGAUACUGCGAGACUAGAGUAAUGGG